UUUCAGAGUCCGAGUUGUAAUUUGCAGAGGGCGCUUUGGCUUUGGCAGCGGUCCAAGUUCCUUGGAACAGGACGUCACAGAGGGUGAGAAUCCCGUACGUGGUCGCUAGCUAUUGCCGUGUAAAGCCCCUUCGACGAGUCGAGUUGUUUGGGAAUGCAGCUCUAAAUGGGAGGUAAAUUUCUUCUAAAGCUAAAUAUUGGCCAGAGACCGAUAGCGCACAAGUAGAGUGAUCGAAAGAUGAAAAGCACUUUGGAAAGAGAGUCAAACAGCACGUGAAAUUGUUGAAAGGGAAGCGCUUGCAGCCAGACUUGCUUGCAGUUGCUCAUCCGGGCUUUUGCCCGGUGCACUCUUCUGCAGGCAGGCCAGCAUCAGUUUGGGCGGUGGGAUAAAGGUCUCUGUCACGUACCUCUCUUCGGGGAGGACUUAUAGGGGAGGCGACAUACCACCAGCCUGGACUGAGGUCCGCGCAUCUGCUAGGAUGCUGGCGUAAUGGCUGUAAGCGGCCCGUCUUGAAACACGGACCAAGGAGUCUAACAUCUAUGCGAGUGUUUGGGUGUCAAGCCCGAGCGCGUAAUGAAAGUGAACGGAGGUGGGAACCCGCAAGGGCGCACCAUCGACCGAUCCUGAAGUUUACGGAAGGAUUUGAGUAAGAGCAUGGCUGUUGGGACCCGAAAGAUGGUGAACUAUGCUUGAAUAGGGUGAAGCCAGAGGAAACUCUGGUGGAGGCUCGCAGCGGUUCUGACGUGCAAAUCGAUCGUCAAAUUUGGGCAUAGGGGCGAAAG
rnacentral:rRNA from 1 species